GGGGACUAAUCAUUGGACUAAUCUCAGCAAUAUUUACAAAGCACUUACCUGGGCAAGGCAACGUCCAGGUAUUGUGGGAAAGAACAGGAUGAUUCAUUUUCUUUAACAACACUUGUACGGAGCUUACUGUGUGCUAGGCACCUUUCUAAGGACCUUAUAAACAUUAACUAGGUUAAUAUUCGGAACAACUCAGUGAGAUGAGUAUCUUGUUAUCGCAAUUUACCAAUGAGGAAACUGAAGUAUGAUCACAAUAGCUGCUUUUUGGUAAGGACCUGCAAUGUGGGCAGGGCUUCAAUGUUUCUUAAAUGUAGUCCUCAGAGCUCUGUAAAAUAAGAUUAGUAUAGCUUGUAUUUUAUAGAGGAAAAACUGAAGCUCUUUGAGCUUGGGUGACUUGUUGACGGCCAUGCAGGCAGCAAGCGGUGGAAUUCCACUGCAUCACACCAACUCCUGGAUCUCCAAGUCACAGUCUCUAUCCUCAGGAAGCUUAGAUGAGACUUGAGAUAACCACACCUUAUAGACAGAUGCAAAUGUGCAGCAAGAAUUUCCUAAGUCCUAUCUGUCUUCCCCACUCCCAUCGCCACGACUGCCUGGGAUUGAAGCUCCUCAUCUUGCUGUUGGUGGAAUGGAAUAAUCAGACUUACAGAAAAACAUGCAGAAAAAGUGAGGAGCCAGAAGCCCAGUGUUGUGGUUCACACUGCCUUGAAGUCUUGCCCUUUGUCCUCUUCUUCCUGAACAGAUCUGUCUUCCUGGGGCAGGACUUGCAUUCCUCACACCAUCCUUUCUGAAGGUGCUGAGGUAAACCUGGUCGAGCCGGUUAGCUCUGGGGUGGAGCCCGGUGAUGGCCUGAUUCAGAGCCUCUGUUACCUGGGGCAGCCAGAAGCGAAUGAGAGGACAGCUGUAAAUCAUCUCUGGCCUGCUGAUGACAUUCUCCUCUCCCAGCUGAAGGACUGAGGUUGUUCCAGGCCUUUGAGUGACUCUGGGCAGGGCUGGGAGAGGACACCUCUCAGCCAGUGCUUGGGGAGGAGGAAUUCAGAUCCUGGGAAAGACAGCAAGCAGCAGCAGGUGUGGAGUAAGCAGGGAGUGACCGUCUGGGACAAUUGCCUAGAAUAAACACUAUUGUCUGCCACA
rnacentral:lncRNA from 13 species